CAGUCAUUGUUUUGUCACUCUUGGUGGACUUUCCCUGAAUUUCCUAAUAAUCUCAGGUGUGUUCUGGGCGCAGGGACCCCUGGCAGGACGUCUCCUGGUGCGUCUGGGUCUCGGCGCGCACCUGCGACCUCUCUCAGGCCUUUUCCAACUUCGAGCUGUACAACAUGAUCCGCCUGGGCGUCCACCUCAGCCCCAGCGCCACAGUCUGGGUCCAGCCGCGCAAGUUUGACUACACCGACUUCAGUCCGUCUGCUCUUCUCUGAACUGGGGUUCUGGACUGUUGAGUAUAUGUAAACGUCGGGUCUUCCCUGCCCUCCACAGCUUUCAGCCCCCCGUCAGUCUCGGUGUCCCUCAGAGAUGAGCGCCUGCUGGUGAAGGUGCAGUUCCCCUGCGCCGUCAGCAGGAGGUGCUCGCUGGAGAGGUGCUGUCCGAUCUCUGAGCUGAUCGACCCCUGGACCACCGUGACUGUGUGCAGCACCACCGGCGACCCCGACUGCCAGGUCUGCCUGCUUUUUCACCUGUUUUUGUCCGACUUUUACAGAGAACCCGUGCAUGAAUUUUUCAUUCAUGUCCGCCAGAAAUAAGCACAUUCAUUAGAAAUUGGGAUUUAAAUCCAACUGUCAGUGAUUUAAAAGAUUUUAUGUCCUUUUUAUUUUGAAAACCCUCGUUAUUGUGUGUCGCCGCAGAGCCGAACUGUUUGGACGCAGGAAGUGGUGACUUAUGUGGACUUCGCCGGCUUGGCUCCAGGGCGGACUUACUGCGCCGUGGCCAACUUCUCCUACCCGACCUUCUCCAUGGCCGCUUCUGCAAAGUCCUCCCCCCAGUGUGUAGAAACCCGCUCCAGAUCUGGACUGAUGCCAGUGCUGGGUCUGGGAAUCGGGUUGACCUCUCUGCUCCUCGUGCCUGUUGUCUCCGUGUUACUUUUACGACGGCACCGAGCCGCACCGACCACUGGAAACCCCAAACCUGCGGCACCUGAUCACGAUCCGGUCUCUCUGGUCUCUCUGUCCCUGGUUCCCGUUGAGCUCUGCGACAUCCGUGUGGAAUUUGACGACCAGAUCUCCACAGGGUCCUCCUCCAGUUCCCAGUCUGACCAGGACCAGGAUCUGGAACAUGUUCUGGUCCCCGCUCCACUGUGA
rnacentral:lncRNA from 1 species